AUCAAAUUAUGAAUCAUCGUGCAGUUACAAAGUGUCGUUUUCUCUGCCACUAUUCUAACUCUCUCUAGUUCUACUGACAAUUUUCUGACUGGCUAAUUCUUCUAAUCUUCCCUUGCUCCAAAUUCACCCCUUGCUUAACUCUCAGUUUUCUCUUUUAAAAACACAGUUCUAAUCCUAUUAUUUCCCUGCUAAGUUUUUCUGAUGGUCUCUCACCACUGACCUAACUAAACUCAGAUUUCUUAUCCGGCCACUUAUAACCUUCUGCAAGAUGGUUCUAAAAAAUGUUCUUUGUGUUAUCUUUCCAUUUCAUCCCUACUUACCCUUAUGUUCUCAUUAUAUUGCAUUUUGUGCUAUUUUUGGAAUGAGCUGCAAGUAACUUUGUCCUCAUUUGGAAGGUCCUGGCAUAUUUGCAGUGCAAAGUAAAUAUUAGGUCCCUUCAACUGACCAGGAAGGGAGGUUGUAAUUCCACAAUUCCAGAAAAGAAAGGAGACGCUAAUCAACAGAUGAAAUCUUUGGAAAAAAAUCCACAAUUGUGGAAGGGAGAGAAUGUGCUGCCCGAAGCUACAGAUUUGAUGAAGGGGCAGGUGAGUGUACUUAUGGAAUGAUCAGUGCAAAUGUGAGACAAUAUGGUAUCA
rnacentral:lncRNA from 1 species